rnacentral:rRNA from 1 species
UAGGGGGCAAGCGUUAUCCGGAUUUACUGGGUGUAAAGGGAGCGUAGACGGUUGUGCAAGUCUGAAGUGAAAGCCCACGGCUUAACUGUGGGACUGCUUUGGAAACUGUAGAACUAGAGUGCUGGAGAGGUAAGUGGAAUUCCUAGUGUAGCGGUGAAAUGCGUAGAUAUUAGGAGGAACACCAGUGGCGAAGGCGGCUUACUGGACAGUAACUGACGUUGAGGCUCGAAAGCGUGGGGAGCAAA